rnacentral:tRNA from 1 species
GGAACCGUGCCCGAACGCCCAGGGACCACUUUGAUAGAGUGGCUUAUGAGGGUUAAAGCCCCUCCCGUUCCU